GACGAACGCUGGCGGCGUGCUUAACACAUGCAAGUCGAGCGGUAAGGCCCUUUCGGGGGUACACGAGCGGCGAACGGGUGAGUAACACGUGGGUGACCUGCCCUCAGCUCUGGGAUAAGCCUGGGAAACCGGGUCUAAUACCGGAUAUGACUCCAUGACGCAUGUUGUGGGGUGGAAAGCCUUGUGCGGCUGAGGAUGGGCCCGCGGCCUAUCAGCUUGUUGGUGGGGUGAUGGCCUACCAAGGCGACGACGGGUAGCCGGCCUGAGAGGGCGACCGGCCACACUGGGACUGAGACACGGCCCAGACUCCUACGGGAGGCAGCAGGUGGGGAAUCUUGCGCAAUGGGGCGAAAGCCUGACGCAGCGACGCCGCGUGAGGGAUGACGGCCUGGUGUAA
rnacentral:rRNA from 1 species